CCUACGGGAGGCAGCAGUGAGGAAUAUUGGACAAUGGGCGCAAGCCUGAUCCAGCCAUGCCGCGUGCAGGAAGAAGCAUCUAUGGUGUGUAAACUGCUUUUGUACGGGAAGAAACACUCCGACGUGUCGGAGCUUGACGGUACCGUAAGAAUAAGGAUCGGCUAACUCCGUGCCAGCAGCCGCGGUAAUACGGAGGAUCCAAGCGUUAUCCGGAAUCAUUGGGUUUAAAGGGUCCGUAGGCGGUUUUAAUAAGUCAGUGGUGAAAGCCCAUCGCUUAACGAUGGAACGGCCAUUGAUACUGUUAGACUUGAAUUAUUGGGAAGUAACUAGAAUAUGUAGUGUAGCGGUGAAAUGCUUAGAUAUUACAUGGAAUACCAAUUGCGAAGGCAGGUUACUAUCAAUAUAUUGACGCUGAUGGACGAAAGCGUGGGGAGCGAACAGGAUUAGAUACCCUGGUAGUCCACGCCGUAAACGAUGGAUACUAGCUGUUCGGAGCAAUCUGGNGUGNGUAGAGAAGUAGAUAAGUAGUACCACCGUCGGGUAGGUACGUUCGUACGAAGAAGUAGAACGUACGAAAGUAGUAAGUUAGUACGGCGUAGAGACGUAGACCGACGGACGACGACGAGGGGAGGAGGG
rnacentral:rRNA from 1 species